rnacentral:tRNA from 1 species
GCUCUGGUGGUCUAGUGGUUAUGAUGCUCGCUUCCCAUUCAGGAAACCAGCGGGCGAGCCGAGUUCGAUUCUCGGUCAGAGCA